rnacentral:rRNA from 1 species
AUUGAACGCUGGCGGCAGGCCUAACACAUGCAAGUCGAACGGUAGCACAGAGAGCUUGCUCUUGGGUGACGAGUGGCGGACGGGCGAGUAAUGUCUGGGAAACUGCCCGAUGGAGGGGGAUAACUACUGGAAACGGUAGCUAAUACCGCAUAACGUCUUCGGACCAAAGUGGGGGACCUUCGGGCCUCACACCAUCGGAUGUGCCCAGAUGGGAUUAGCUAGUAGGUGGGGUAAAGGCUCACCUAGGCGACGAUCCCUAGCUGGUCUGAGAGGAUGACCAGGCACACUGGAACUGAGACACGGUCCAGACUCCGACGGGAGGCAGCAGUGGGGAAUAUUGCACAAUGGGCGCAAGCCUGAUGCAGCCAUGCCGCGUGUAUGAAGAAGGCCUUCGGGUUGUAAAGUACUUUCAGCGGGGAGGAAGGCGUUAAGGUUAAUAACCUUGGCGAUUGACGUUACCCGCAGAAGAAGCACCGGCUAACUCCGUGCCAGCCGCCGCUGUAA